CGAACCGCGGCGGGAGAGCUCCCGUCGGCCGCCCUCGGUCCACACCGGGAGGGCGGCAGCGCGGGGCGCCGAAGGAGCAACCCUCCCCGGGAAUCUCUCAGGCACCCGUACCGUCACGGCGAG
rnacentral:ncRNA from 2 species